rnacentral:rRNA from 1 species
AUGGGAGAUGGCCAUCCAACUUUUAGAAGUCAUGAGUUUUUCCUUGAUUGGAUGGACUGGAUAGGUCUAUAUCCCAUUAAAUAUAAUAUAGCUCGAACAACCAGGGAAAAUCCAAGUGGUACAAAAAACUUGAGUGAGCUGAGCCAUUUCUUGCCUCCAGCUGUUCAAGUUAAAGAGGACACAUGUCUUUCUCUUAAAAAUGUCUCAUUUGGGCAUUCCUUGUACAACACCUUUUUAAAUCAUAAAAAUGGUCUUGGCCAAAUACUAGGUAGAGUAUUCAACAAUUUUCUACCUUCCAUAAGCUCUUCACAUGCACAUACCUCUGGUUCGUGUAACAUCUAUAAUUGA